rnacentral:rRNA from 1 species
AACGAACGCUGGCGGCAUGCCUAACACAUGCAAGUCGAACGAGACCAUCGGGACUAGUGGCGCACGGGUGCGUAACGCGGGGGAAGCUGCCUUUAGGUUCGGAAUUACUCAGUGAAAUGUGAGCUAAUAUCGGAAGAUGUCUUCUGACCAAAGAUUUAUCCCCUUUGGAUGGGCCCGCGUUGGAUUAGCUUGUUGGUGGGGUAAAGGCCUACCAAGGCGACGAUCCGUAGCUGGUCAGAGAGAACGAUCAGCCACUCUUAGGCUGAGACGCGGCCCAGACUAUUGCACGAUGCAGCAGUGGGGAAUAUUGGAAUAUGGGCUAAAUGCUGAUGGAGCUCGGCCGCGUGAGUGAUGAAGGCCUUAGGGUAGUAAAGCUCGUUUAUACCAGAUGAUAAUGACGGUAUCGGGAGAAUAAGCUCCGGCUAACUCCGUG